rnacentral:rRNA from 1 species
UACGAAGGGGACUAGCGUUGUUCGGAAUUACUGGGCGUAAAGCGCACGUAGGCGGAUUUGUUAGUCAGGGGUGAAAUCCCGGGGCUCAACCUCGGAACUGCCUUUGAUACUGCAAGUCUCGAGUCCGAUAGAGGUGGGUGGAAUUCCUAGUGUAGAGGUGAAAUUCGUAGAUAUUAGGAAGAACACCAGUGGCGAAGGCGGCUCACUGGCCCGGUACUGACGCUGAGGCGCGAAAGCGUGGGGAGCAAACAGGG